AACGUUAAAGGAAUUGACGGGGGCCCGCACAAGCGGAGGAACAUGUGGUUUAAUUCGAUGAUACGCGAGGAACCUUACCUGGGCUUAAAUGUAGGUUGCAUAACUUAGAAAUAGGUUUUCCCUUCGGGGCUACUUACAAGGUGCUGCAUGGUUGUCGUCAGCUCGUGCCGUGAGGUGUCGGGUUAAGUCCCAUAACGAGCGCAACCCCUAUCGUUAGUUGCCAGCGGGUCAAGCCGGGGACUCUAGCGAGACUGCCGCCGUAAGGUGAGAGGAAGGUGGGGAUGACGUCAAAUCAGCACGGCCCUUAUGUCCAGGGCUACACACGUGUUACAAUGGCCGAUACAAAGGGCAGCUACCGGGCGACCGGAUGCUAAUCUCAAAAGUCGGUCCCAGUUCGGAUUGGAGUCUGCAACCCGACUCCAUGAAGUUGGAUUCGCUAGUAAUCGCGCAUCAGCCAUGGCGCGGUGAAUACGUUCCCGGGCCUU
rnacentral:rRNA from 1 species